rnacentral:rRNA from 1 species
CGGCAACAGCUCAAAUUUGAAAUCUGGCCCUAGGCCCGAGUUGUAAUUUGUAGAGGAUGCUUUUGGCGACGUGCUUUCCGAGUUCCCUGGAACGGGACGCCAUAGAGGGUGAGAGCCCCGUACGGUCAUGCACCUAGCCUCUGUAAAGCUCCUUCGAC